CCUCGGAGAGUUUGAUCCUGGCUCAGGACGAACGCUGGCGGCGUGCCUAAUACAUGCAAGUCGAGCGAACAGAAGGGAGCUUGCUCCCGGAUGUUAGCGGCGGACGGGUGAGUAACACGUGGGUAACCUGCCUGUAAGACUGGGAUAACUCCGGGAAACCGGAGCUAAUACCGGAUAGUUCCUUGAACCGCAUGGUUC
rnacentral:rRNA from 1 species